GAUGAACGCUGGCGGCGUGCCUAAUACAUGCAAGUCGAGCGAAUGGAUUAAGAGCUUGCUCUUAUGAAGUUAGCGGCGGACGGGUGAGUAACACGUGGGUAACCUGCCCAUAAGACUGGGAUAACUCCGGGAAACCGGGGCUAAUACCGGAUAACAUUUUGAACCGCAUGGUUCGAAAUUGAAAGGCGGCUUCGGCUGUCACUUAUGGAUGGACCCGCGUCGCGUCAGCUAGUUGGUGAGGUAACGGCUCACCAAGGCGACGACGGGGAGCCGGCCUGGGAGGGUGGCCGGCCACACUGGGAAUGAGACACGGCCCAGACUCCUACGGGAGGCAGGAGUAGGGAAACUUCCGCAAUGGACGAAAGUCUGACGGAGCAACGCCGCGUGAGUGAUGAAGGCUUUCGGGUCGUAAAACUCUGUUGUUAGGGAAGAACAAGUGCUAGUUGAAUAAGCUGGCACCUUGACGGUACCUAACCAGAAAGCCACGGCUAACUACGUGCCAGCAGCCGCGGUAA
rnacentral:rRNA from 1 species